AGUGUUGGGAAUGCUUAAAAAAAGAAGCGAAAGGGUGUACUAGUCUAGUAGCGUGGACAGCCGCAGCCGCAAGAGUGUUCUCGUCUCAUCUGAGUCCGUUCCGCCGCCUCCGCCUCCGCCUCCGGCUCCGGCUGCUGGUCGCCGGGGAAUUCGAGAAUCGUAUCCUCGUGCCCGCAAACCGUAGGUACCAUUGCCCGCAGAGCAGGCCUUCCCUACUCCUCUAAGGCUGCAUUACCUCUACGAAAUGCCAUGGCCUUCCUAGUCUCCUAGCUAGGGUUUGCUCUGCCUCCCGCCGUCGCCGAUGUUCGAGGAGAUGGCCGCCGAUUCCAGCAUGGGCAUGGGGAUGGGCUUCCACCAGGGGGCCUCCUCCUUGCACCACCACCACCAUAACAUGCUCUCCUUCCAAUCCAAUCCCGAUUCCGCUCCCGCCCCCGCCCCCGCGCCCCCUGCCCCUCCCGUCUUCCUCCCCUCCCCCAACGCUCCCGUGCUCCAGGGGGCGCCGCCCAAGUACAAGUUCGUCACCGGCUCACCCUCCGACUGGACCCCCUAUGAGCUCUCCAUAUUCCAGGAGGGCCUCGCCAGGUAUGCUCGUGAGCCCACCAUUAUGAAAUACAUCAAGAUUGCUGCUAUGCUGCCCACUAAGACCAUCAGGGACGUCGCGUUGAGAUGCCGGUGGACUGCUGGAAAGGAGAGUAGGAGGAGGAAACCUGAUGAAUUCUAUGCUGGGAAAAGGAUAAGGGACUUGAAGGAGAAAAUGAUUGUUUCUACCUCACUAGCUAACUUUCAGAUGGCACCUCCAAAUAAUUUAGUCCCCUUCUCGAUGUCGAUGCAUCAUCCAGGUCAGAAUAGCCUGGCUGCAAAUGAAGUCCUCGUUUUAGAUAAUGCAACUCAGCAUCUUCUGGAGGAAAAUAACCAGUUACUCAAUCAGAUCUCUGCAAAUAUUGAAACUUUCAAGCUGGGGGAGAACAUGGAUCUCUUUGUACGUACGAAUAACAAUAUUCGAACAAUUUUGAAAAGGUAUGACAUUGUUAUCUGUUGCAUUUUUCUUGUAUUUCAUUUAUUUCCUGUAUGCUACUUUAAUUGCACACACAUGACAUAUGCGUAGGAUUUAUAUGUUUGAGUUUUUGUCAUCUACUUUAAUUCAGUUUGUUCGAGUCAUUUCUUUAUAAGAAUGUGUAGGAUCUUGCAUGGCAGCUAUCAGAUCAAAGGAGCUGUAAAUAUGAACCGAAAUGGGUGAGACGCCUGGUGUCAUGGGUCAGAUGCGUCCCUUGCCAGAACCUGUAAAUGAAGGCCAACUAAAUUCACUUCUUCAACUGGAUAGAGUGGUUGCCUCUUAUGGCGAUAUACUACAUAACACUUGUAUGAAGGAUGAAGCAUGAAGUUAAUGUAAGAUAAAUUGGGGGCGAUGGGACAUAACCAUCCUGUUGCGAAAAAGAUGACAUGAGCUUUUGCCUGAUCUGUACAAAUGCCACGAAGAAGACCUACAAUGUAGAAUUAGAUGUUAUACUGACCAAGGCGGCAUGGAAUAAGUAAUGAUGCCUUCGAGGGAUGUAUUGUUUCCUUUUUUGGUGCGAACUAAUUGCUUCGGCUGCUGGCUGUCGAUCCUUGAUUCUUGGGAAAGUGAAGGGAAUGUAAAACGGGACGAGGUGAGGGUGUGGUUUAUCAUCCUUUUGUGUUGUUAUGGGAGCUGACUUGAUUCAGACGGCUGUAAAUAUCGGGUGUGGUCGCCGCAUGAGACGUUUUACUUGUCUGAUGAUGAUGCUCAAACAAGAACUACUGUUCUCAUUGUACAACAAUUGAUUCUUAAGUUUGGCUUAUUUGACUACUGUA